rnacentral:rRNA from 1 species
GACGAACGCUGGCGGUGUGCCUAAUACAUGCAAGUAGAACGCUGAAGGAGGAGCUUGCUUCUCCGGAUGAGUUGCGAACGGGUGAGUAACGCGUAGGUAACCUGCCUGGUAGCGGGGGAUAACUAUUGGAAACGAUAGCUAAUACCGCAUAACAGUAGAUGUUGCAUGACAUUUGCUUAAAAGGUGCAAUUGCAUCACUACCAGAUGGACCUGCGUUGUAUUAGCUAGUUGGUGAGGUAACGGCUCACCAAGGCGACGAUACAUAGCCGACCUGAGAGGGUGAUCGGCCACACUGGGACUGAGACACGGCCCAGACUCCUACGGGAGGCAGCAGUAGGGAAUCUUCGGCAAUGGACGGAAGUCUGACCGAGCAACGCCGCGUGAGUGAAGAAGGUUUUCGGAUCGUAAAGCUCUGUUGUAAGAGAAGAACGAGUGUGAGAGUGGAAAGUUCACACUGUGACGGUAUCUUACCAGAAAGAGACGGCUAACUACGUG